GCCGUGUGAUCCGUGGACAGAGGAAGGGCGCCGGGUCUGUGUUCCGCGCGCACGUGAAGCACCGUAAGGGCGCUGCGCGCCUGCGUGCCGUGGAUUUCGCUGAGCGGCACGGCUACAUCAAGGGCAUCGUCAAGGACAUCAUCCACGACCCGGGCCGCGGCGCUCCCCUCGCCAAGGUGGUCUUCCGGGAUCCGUACCGGUUAUCUCCUCAGCCAACAGAGCUGUGGUUGGUGUGGUGGCUGGAGGUGGCCGAAUUGACAAACCCAUCUUGAAGGCUGGCCGGGCGUACCACAAAUAUAAGGCAAAGAGAAACUGCUGGCCACGAGUGCGGGGUGUGGCCAUGAAUCCUGUGGAGCAUCCUUUUGGAGGUGGCAACCACCAGCACAUCGGCAAGCCCUCCACCAUCCGCAGAGAUGCCCCUGCUGGCCGCAAAGUGGGUCUCAUUGCUGCCCGCCGGACUGGACGUCUCCGGGGAACCAAGACUGUGCAGGAGAAAGAGAACUAGUGCUGAGGGCCUCAAUAAAGUUUGUGUUUAUGCCA
rnacentral:sRNA from 1 species